rnacentral:rRNA from 1 species
AGUGAACGCUGGCGGUAGGCCUAACACAUGCAAGUCGAACGGCAGCACAGUAAGAGCUUGCUCUUACGGGUGGCGAGUGGCGGACGGGUGAGGAAUACAUCGGAAUCUACUUUUUCGUGGGGGAUAACGUAGGGAAACUUACGCUAAUACCGCAUACGACCUACGGGUGAAAGCAGGGGAUCUUCGGACCUUGCGCGAUUGAAUGAGCCGAUGUCGGAUUAGCUAGUUGGCGGGGUAAAGGCCCACCAAGGCGACGAUCCGUAGCUGGUCUGAGAGGAUGGUCACCCACACUGGAACUGAGACACGGUCCAGACUCCUACGGGAGGCAGCAGUGGGGAAUAUUGGGCAAUGGGGGCAAGCCUGAUCCAGCCAUACCGCGUGGGUGAAGAAGGCGUUCGGGUUGUAAAGCCCUUUUGUUGGGAGAGAAAAGCAGCAGGUUAAUACGCCGCUGUUCUGACGGUACCCAAAGAAUAAGCACCGGCUAACUUCGUG